rfam:Gossypium arboreum cultivar AKA8401 contig_131283_1, whole genome shotgun sequence.
CUCAAUGAAGCGCUUUGCCUACGUGGAUAGAAAGCGUGCCCUCAAAGAAGCGUUUUCUGUCCACGUAGGCAAAGCGCUUUCUUGAGG